rnacentral:rRNA from 1 species
CCAUUCCGAACAGAGAAGUUAAGCCCACCAGAGCCGAUGGUACUGCGGUAACACGUGGGAGAGUAGGUCGGUGCCAGAU